rnacentral:rRNA from 1 species
UACGUAGGUGGCAAGCGUUGUCCGGAAUUAUUGGGCGUAAAGCGCGCGCAGGCGGUCCUUUAAGUCUGAUGUGAAAGCCCACGGCUCAACCGUGGAGGGUCAUUGGAAACUGGGGGACUUGAGUACAGAAGAGAAGAGUGGAAUUCCACGUGUAGAGGUGAAAUGCGUAGAGAUGUGGAGGAACACCAGUGGCGAAGGCGACUCUUUGGUCUGUAACUGACGCUGAGGCGCGAAAGCGUGGGGAGCAAACAGG